rnacentral:rRNA from 1 species
AUUGAACGCUGGCGGAAUGCUUUACACAUGCAAGUCGAGCGGCAGCGCGGGGGCAACCCUGGCGGCGAGCGGCGAACGGGUGAGUAACAUAUCGGAACGUACCCAUUGGUGGGGGAUAACACAUCGAAAGAUGUGCUAAUACCGCAUACGACCUGAGGGUGAAAGGGGGGGAUCGCAAGACCUCUCGCCGUUGGAGCGGCCGAUAUCGGAUUAGCUAGUUGGUGAGGUAAAGGCUCACCAAGGCGACGAUCCGUAGCUGGUCUGAGAGGACGAACAGCCACACUGGAACUGAGACACGGUCCAGACUCCUACGGGAGGCAGCAGUGGGGAAUUUUGGACAAUGGGGGCAACCCUGAUCCAGCCAUUCCGCGUGAGUGAAGAAGGCCUUCGGGUUGUAAAGCUCUUUCGGCAGGAACGAAAACUUAGCCACUAAUACUGGGUGAGGAUGACGGUACCUUGAUAAGAAGCACCGGCUAACUACGUGCCAGCAGCCGCGGUAAGAC